rnacentral:rRNA from 1 species
GACAGAGGCCUCAAGCGUUAGGCGGAAUCACUGGGCUUAAAGCGCGUGUAGGUGGAUUUUUAAGUGCCUUGUGAAAUCCUGCGGCUCAACCGCAGAACUGCUGGGCAUACUGGAAGUCUUGGGCUAUCUAGGGGCAACCGGAACAAGCGGUGGAGCGGUGAAAUGCGUAGAUAUCGCUUGGAACGCCAAAGGUGAAGACAGGUUGCUGGAGAUAUGCCGACACUGAGACGCGAAAGCCAGGGGAGCAAACGGGAUUAGAUACCCCGGUAGUCCUGGCCCUAAACGAUGUCCACUGGAUCGCGGUUCCUUGACGGGAUUCGCGGUCGGAGCAAAAGUGUUAAGUGGACCGCCUGGGAAGUACGGUCGCAAGGCUAAA